rnacentral:rRNA from 1 species
UGCAGUCGAGCGCUCACUUCGGUGGGAGCGGCGGACGGGUUAGUAACGCGUGGGAACAUACCCAACACUAAGGAAUAGCCACUGGAAACGGUGAGUAAUACCUUAUACGCCCUUCGGGGGAAAGAUUUAUCGGUGAUGGAUUGGCCCGCGUUAGAUUAGAUAGUUGGUGGGGUAAUGGCCUACCAAGUCUACGAUCCAUAGCUGGUUUUAGAGGAUGAUCAGCAACACUGGGACUGAGAUACGGCCCAGACUCCUACGGGAGGCAGCAGUGGGGAAUCUUAGACAAUGGGCGAAAGCCUGAUCUAGCGAUGCCGCGUGAGUGAUGAAGGCCCUAGGGUCGUAAAGCUCUUUCGCCAGGGAUGAUAAUGACAGUACCUGGUAAAGAAACCCCGGCUAACUCCGUGCCAGCAGCCGCGGUAAUACGGAGGGGGUUAGCGUUGUUCGGAAUUACUGGGCGUAAAGCGCACGUAGGCGGACUAGAAAGUUAGGGGUGAAAUCCCGGAGCUCAACUCCGGAACUGCCUCU